GAAUUUCUAUGGUCUUUUAUCAACCCUCUUAUUUGUUCAUAAUGGGUCCUUUUUUAAUGCAGGUAAAGACGAGUCGUUUAGGUUGAUCAAAAGUCCUUUUGUCUAAACGGAUCUACAAGGAAAUGGCAAUUAAAGGCAAGGAGAUAUACUAGAGCGAAAUGGCGCAUUACAAAAUGGGGGCGAGUUCAAUGGCAACAACUAACCAACAAG